rnacentral:rRNA from 1 species
UUAAGCGACUAAGCGUACACGGUGGAUGCCCUGGCAGUCAGAGGCGAUGAAGGGCGUGCUAAUCUGCGAUAAGCGCCGGUAAGGUGAUAUGAACCGUUAUAACCGGCGAUACCCGAAUGGGGAAACCCAGUGUGAUUCGUCACACUAUCAUUAACUGAAUCCAUAGGUUAAUGAGGCGAACCGGGGGAACUGAAACAUCUAAGUACCCCGAGGAAAAGAAAUCAACCGAGAUUCCCCCAGUAGCGGCGAGCGAACGGGGAGGAGCCCAGAGCCUGAAUCAGCAUGUGUGUUAGUGGAAGCGUCUGGAAAGGUGCGCGAUACAGGGUGACAGCCCCGUACACAAAAGCGCAUGUGCUGUGAGCUCGAUGAGUAGGGCGGGACACGUGGUAUCCUGUCUGAAUAUGGGGGGACCAUCCUCCAAGGCUAAAUACUCCUGACUGACCGAUAGUGAACCAGUACCGUGAGGGAAAGGCGAAAAGAACCCCGGCGAGGGGAGUGAAAAAGAACCUGAAACCGUGUACGUACAAGCAGUGGGAGCACAGGUUUACCUGUGUGACUGCGUACCUUUUGUAUAAUGGGUCAGCGACUUAUAUUCUGUAGCAAGGUUAACCGUAUAGGGGAGCCGUAGGGAAACCGAGUCUUAACCGGGCGUUAAGUUGCAGGGUAUAGACCCGAAACCCGGUGAUCUAGCCAUGGGCAGGUUGAAGGUUGGGUAACACUAACUGGAGGACCGAACCGACUAAUGUUGAAAAAUUAGCGGAUGACCUGUGGCUGGGGGUGAAAGGCCAAUCAAACCGGGAGAUAGCUGGUUCUCCCCGAAAGCUAUUUAGGUAGCGCCUCGUGAAUUCAUCUCCGGGGGUAGAGCACUGUUUCGGCUAGGGGGCCAUCCCGGCUUACCAACCCGAUGCAAACUGCGAAUACCGGAGAAUGUUAUCACGGGAGACACACGGCGGGUGCUAACGUCCGUCGUGAAGAGGGAAACAACCCAGACCGCCAGCUAAGGUCCCAAAGUCAUGGUUAAGUGGGAAACGAUGUGGGAAGGCCCAGACAGCCAGGAUGUUGGCUUAGAAGCAGCCAUCAUUUAAAGAAAGCGUAAUAGCUCACUGGUCGAGUCGGCCUGCGCGGAAGAUGUAACGGGGCUAAACCAUGCACCGAAGCUGCGGCAGCGAACGUAUCACUUAAAGCGAUUCAGCGGGUUACGAUUGACGGAGCGAAGCGACGUCAAAGCGUAUACAAAGUCGAGUCGGUUUAAGGAUACGUUCGUUGGGUAGGGGAGCGUUCUGUAAGCCCGUGAAGGUGGCCUGUGAGGGUUGCUGGAGGUAUCAGAAGUGCGAAUGCUGACAUAAGUAACGAUAAAGCGGGUGAAAAGCCCGCUCGCCGGAAGACCAAGGGUUCCUGUCCAACGUUAAUCGGGGCAGGGUGAGUCGACCCCUAAGGCGAGGCCGAAAGGCGUAGUCGAUGGGAAACGGGUUAAUAUUCCCGUACUUGGUGUUACUGCGAAGGGGGGACGGAGAAGGCUAUGUUGGCCGGGCGACGGUUGUCCCGGUUUAAGCGUGUAGGUGUGUGUUCCAGGUAAAUCCGGUUCACUUUAACACUGAGGCGUGACGACGAGGCACUACGGUGCUGAAGCAACAAAUGCCCUGCUUCCAGGAAAAGCCUCUAAGCAUCAGGUAACACGAAAUCGUACCCCAAACCGACACAGGUGGUCAGGUAGAGAAUACCAAGGCGCUUGAGAGAACUCGGGUGAAGGAACUAGGCAAAAUGGUGCCGUAACUUCGGGAGAAGGCACGCUGACACGUAGGUGAAGUGAUUUACUCAUGGAGCUGAAGUCAGUCGAAGAUACCAGCUGGCUGCAACUGUUUAUUAAAAACACAGCACUGUGCAAACACGAAAGUGGACGUAUACGGUGUGACGCCUGCCCGGUGCCGGAAGGUUAAUUGAUGGGGUCAGCGCAAGCGAAGCUCCUGAUCGAAGCCCCGGUAAACGGCGGCCGUAACUAUAACGGUCCUAAGGUAGCGAAAUUCCUUGUCGGGUAAGUUCCGACCUGCACGAAUGGCGUAAUGAUGGCCAGGCUGUCUCCACCCGAGACUCAGUGAAAUUGAACUCGCUGUGAAGAUGCAGUGUACCCGCGGCAAGACGGAAAGACCCCGUGAACCUUUACUAUAGCUUGACACUGAACAUUGAGCCUUGAUGUGUAGGAUAGGUGGGAGGCUUUGAAGUGUGGACGCCAGUCUGCAUGGAGCCGACCUUGAAAUACCACCCUUUAAUGUUUGAUGUUCUAACGUGGACCCGUAAUCCGGGUUGCGGACAGUGUCUGGUGGGUAGUUUGACUGGGGCGGUCUCCUCCUAAAGAGUAACGGAGGAGCACGAAGGUUGGCUAAUCCUGGUCGGACAUCAGGAGGUUAGUGCAAUGGCAUAAGCCAGCUUGACUGCGAGCGUGACGGCGCGAGCAGGUGCGAAAGCAGGUCAUAGUGAUCCGGUGGUUCUGAAUGGAAGGGCCAUCGCUCAACGGAUAAAAGGUACUCCGGGGAUAACAGGCUGAUACCGCCCAAGAGUUCAUAUCGACGGCGGUGUUUGGCACCUCGAUGUCGGCUCAUCACAUCCUGGGGCUGAAGUAGGUCCCAAGGGUAUGGCUGUUCGCCAUUUAAAGUGGUACGCGAGCUGGGUUUAGAACGUCGUGAGACAGUUCGGUCCCUAUCUGCCGUGGGCGCUGGAGAACUGAGGGGGGCUGCUCCUAGUACGAGAGGACCGGAGUGGACGCAUCACUGGUGUUCGGGUUGUCAUGCCAAUGGCACUGCCCGGUAGCUAAAUGCGGAAGAGAUAAGUGCUGAAAGCAUCUAAGCACGAAACUUGCCCCGAGAUGAGUUCUCCCUGAGACUUAGAGUCUCCUGAAGGAACGUUGAAGACGACGACGUUGAUAGGCCGGGUGUGUAAGCGCAGCGAUGCGUUGAGCUAACCGGUACUAAUGAACCGUGAGGCUUAACCUU